CCCAAUCCCCACAUUAGCUGUGGUGGCAGAUCAAAGUAAUUUGAAUGGUGAACCACUCGAUCGAGCAGGAGAUCAACUCCAUCAACAACAACCCCUUGAUUGAUGUCGCCUAUGACAUCGCCCUCCACGGCGGCAACUUCUAGGUGACCUGAAAGAGAGAUGGAGCUAUGGAAGUUUCAAGAGAGAGAGAGAGUGAGAGAGGAAGGA
rnacentral:lncRNA from 1 species